UUCUAAGGGAGACUGAUAAGCAAAUGAC
rnacentral:piRNA from 1 species